rnacentral:rRNA from 1 species
GGGUUGUGAGGUUAAGCGACUAAGCGUACACGGUGGAUGCCCUGGCAGUCAGAGGCGAUGAAGGACGUGCUAAUCUGCGAUAAGCGUCGGUAAGGUGAUAUGAACCGUUAUAACCGGCGAUUUCCGAAUGGGGAAACCCAGUGUGUUUCGACACACUAUCAUUAACUGAAUCCAUAGGUUAAUGAGGCGAACCGGGGGAACUGAAACAUCUAAGUACCCCGAGGAAAAGAAAUCAACCGAGAUUCCCCCAGUAGCGGCGAGCGAACGGGGAGCAGCCCAGAGCCUGAAUCAGUGUGUGUGUUAGUGGAAGCGUCUGGAAAGGCGCGCGAUACAGGGUGACAGCCCCGUACACAAAAAUGCACAUGCUGUGAGCUCGAUGAGUAGGGCGGGACACGUGGUAUCCUGUCUGAAUAUGGGGGGACCAUCCUCCAAGGCUAAAUACUCCUGACUGACCGAUAGUGAACCAGUACCGUGAGGGAAAGGCGAAAAGAACCCCGGCGAGGGGAGUGAAAAAGAACCUGAAACCGUGUACGUACAAGCAGUGGGAGCACGCUUAGGCGUGUGACUGCGUACCUUUUGUAUAAUGGGUCAGCGACUUAUAUUCUGUAGCAAGGUUAACCGAAUAGGGGAGCCGAAGGGAAACCGAGUCUUAACUGGGCGUUAAGUUGCAGGGUAUAGACCCGAAACCCGGUGAUCUAGCCAUGGGCAGGUUGAAGGUUGGGUAACACUAACUGGAGGACCGAACCGACUAAUGUUGAAAAAUUAGCGGAUGACUUGUGGCUGGGGGUGAAAGGCCAAUCAAACCGGGAGAUAGCUGGUUCUCCCCGAAAGCUAUUUAGGUAGCGCCUCGUGAAUUCAUCUCCGGGGGUAGAGCACUGUUUCGGCAAGGGGGUCAUCCCGACUUACCAACCCGAUGCAAACUGCGAAUACCGGAGAAUGUUAUCACGGGAGACACACGGCGGGUGCUAACGUCCGUCGUGAAGAGGGAAACAACCCAGACCGCCAGCUAAGGUCCCAAAGUCAUGGUUAAGUGGGAAACGAUGUGGGAAGGCCCAGACAGCCAGGAUGUUGGCUUAGAAGCAGCCAUCAUUUAAAGAAAGCGUAAUAGCUCACUGGUCGAGUCGGCCUGCGCGGAAGAUGUAACGGGGCUAAACCAUGCACCGAAGCUGCGGCAGCGACGCUUAUGCGUUGUUGGGUAGGGGAGCGUUCUGUAAGCCUGUGAAGGUGUGCUGUGAGGCAUGCUGGAGGUAUCAGAAGUGCGAAUGCUGACAUAAGUAACGAUAAAGCGGGUGAAAAGCCCGCUCGCCGGAAGACCAAGGGUUCCUGUCCAACGUUAAUCGGGGCAGGGUGAGUCGACCCCUAAGGCGAGGCCGAAAGGCGUAGUCGAUGGGAAACAGGUUAAUAUUCCUGUACUUGGUGUUACUGCGAAGGGGGGACGGAGAAGGCUAUGUUGGCCGGGCGACGGUUGUCCCGGUUUAAGCGUGUAGGCUGGUUUUCCAGGCAAAUCCGGAAAAUCAAGGCUGAGGCGUGAUGACGAGGCACUACGGUGCUGAAGCAACAAAUGCCCUGCUUCCAGGAAAAGCCUCUAAGCAUCAGGUAACAUCAAAUCGUACCCCAAACCGACACAGGUGGUCAGGUAGAGAAUACCAAGGCGCUUGAGAGAACUCGGGUGAAGGAACUAGGCAAAAUGGUGCCGUAACUUCGGGAGAAGGCACGCUGAUAUGUAGGUGAAGUCCCUCGCGGAUGGAGCUGAAAUCAGUCGAAGAUACCAGCUGGCUGCAACUGUUUAUUAAAAACACAGCACUGUGCAAACACGAAAGUGGACGUAUACGGUGUGACGCCUGCCCGGUGCCGGAAGGUUAAUUGAUGGGGUUAGCGCAAGCGAAGCUCUUGAUCGAAGCCCCGGUAAACGGCGGCCGUAACUAUAACGGUCCUAAGGUAGCGAAAUUCCUUGUCGGGUAAGUUCCGACCUGCACGAAUGGCGUAAUGAUGGCCAGGCUGUCUCCACCCGAGACUCAGUGAAAUUGAACUCGCUGUGAAGAUGCAGUGUACCCGCGGCAAGACGGAAAGACCCCGUGAACCUUUACUAUAGCUUGACACUGAACAUUGAGCCUUGAUGUGUAGGAUAGGUGGGAGGCUUUGAAGUGUGGACGCCAGUCUGCAUGGAGCCGACCUUGAAAUACCACCCUUUAAUGUUUGAUGUUCUAACGUUGACCCGUGAUCCGGGUUGCGGACAGUGUCUGGUGGGUAGUUUGACUGGGGCGGUCUCCUCCUAAAGAGUAACGGAGGAGCACGAAGGUUGGCUAAUCCUGGUCGGACAUCAGGAGGUUAGUGCAAUGGCAUAAGCCAGCUUGACUGCGAGCGUGACGGCGCGAGCAGGUGCGAAAGCAGGUCAUAGUGAUCCGGUGGUUCUGAAUGGAAGGGCCAUCGCUCAACGGAUAAAAGGUACUCCGGGGAUAACAGGCUGAUACCGCCCAAGAGUUCAUAUCGACGGCGGUGUUUGGCACCUCGAUGUCGGCUCAUCACAUCCUGGGGCUGAAGUAGGUCCCAAGGGUAUGGCUGUUCGCCAUUUAAAGUGGUACGCGAGCUGGGUUUAGAACGUCGUGAGACAGUUCGGUCCCUAUCUGCCGUGGGCGCUGGAGAAUUGAGGGGGGCUGCUCCUAGUACGAGAGGACCGGAGUGGACGCAUCACUGGUGUUCGGGUUGUCAUGCCAAUGGCACUGCCCGGUAGCUAAAUGCGGAAGAGAUAAGUGCUGAAAGCAUCUAAGCACGAAACUUGCCCCGAGAUGAGUUCUCCCUGACUCCUUGAGAGUCCUGAAGGAACGUUGAAGACGACGACGUUGAUAGGCCGGGUGUGUAAGCGCAGCGAUGCGUUGAGCUAACCGGUACUAAUGAACCGUGAGGCUUAACCUUACAACGCCGAAGCUGUU